UACGUAGGGGGGCAAGCGUUGUCCGGAUUUAUUGGGCGUAAAGAGCGUGUAGGCGGCCAGACAGGUCAGCUGUGAAAACUCGAGGCUCAACCUCGAGACGUCGGUGGAAACCGUUUGGCUAGAGUCCGGAAGAGGAGAGUGGAAUUCCCGGUGUAGCGGUGAAAUGCGCAGAUAUCGGGAAGAACACCCGUGGCGAAGGCGGCUCUCUGGGACGGUACUGACGCUGAGACGCGAAAGCGUGGGGAGCGAACAGG
rnacentral:rRNA from 1 species